GGCACUUUGGCGGAGUGGUUAACGCGAUGCCCUGCUAUUGCCAAGAUAGCCGGUAGGCAUUCCCUUCGGGGGCGUGUGUUCGAAUCACACAGGUGUCG